rnacentral:tRNA from 1 species
GGAGAGAUGGCUCAGCGGUUAAGCGCACUGACUGCUCUUCCAGAGGUCCUGAGUUCAAAUCCCAGCAACCACA